CGCUGGCGGCACGCCUAACACAUGCAAGUCGAACGAAGUAGCAAUACUUAGUGGCAGACGGGUGAGUAACAUGUAGGUAUCUACCCUUUGGCCUGGAAUAACACGAGGAAACUUGUGCUAAUACUGGAUAAGUCUUUACGGAGAAAGCUUUAUGCACCAAUGGAUGAGCCUGCACUUGAUUAGUUUGUUGGUAGGGUAAUGGCCUACCAAGACUGUGAUCAAUAGCUGAUUUGAGAGGAUGAUCAGCCACAUUGGGACUGAGACACGGCCCAAACUCCUACGGGAGGCAGCAGUGGGGAAUCUUGCACAAUGGAGGAAACUCUGAUGCAGCGAUGCCGCGUGAGUGAAGAAGGCCCUUGGGUUGUAAAGCUCUUUCGUCGGGGAAGAAAAUGACUGUACCCGAAUAAGAAGGUCCGGCUAACUUCGUGCCAGCAGCCGCGGUAAUACGAAGGGACCUAGCGUAGUUCGGAAUUACUGGGCUUAAAGAGUUCGUAGGUGGUUGAAAUAGUUGGUGGUGAAAUCCCAGAGCUUAACUCUGGAACUGCCAUCAAAACUUUUCAGCUAGAGUUUGAUAGAGGAAAGCAGAAUUUCUAGUGUAGAGGUGAAAUUCGUAGAUAUUAGAAAGAAUACCAAUUGCGAAGGCAGCUUUCUGGAUCAUUACUGACACUGAGGAACGAAAGCAUGGGUAGCGAAGAGGAUUAGAUACCCUCGUAGUCCAUGCCGUAAACGAUGUGUGUUAGACGUUGGAAAUUUAUUUUCAGUGUCGCAGCGAAAGCGAUAAACACACCGCCUGGGGAGUACGACCGCA
rnacentral:rRNA from 1 species